UGUGUUCUACCUAGCCAGGAUUGCCACUAAGCUGACAAAUACCACUCAAAGAUCAUCUUCUGACUACAAACUGCUCAGGACAUUCGAAAUGCUGAGUUCAUAUGAGACUGACACAAACAUUUUAUAGAACUUUGAACUAUUAAAAUUCUUAAUCCUAUUACUGCCAAAUAACAACCAAGCUGUACAUUGUGGAAAGCUUGGCAGAAAUAGCUUCAUUAUUGUAGAUAGGUUUACUCUACUAGAGUUAAAACCUUUAUUUAGAUAAAAGGAAGGAAAUGUUGCAGGAUAUUUGAUCACACUAUGAACUCUGAGAUUAUGUUAUUUACUGGACAAAACCUAUUUUUAGUUGUGGUGUGGCUCAGCCUUAGCACACACCUUUAAUUCAAUAACUUUCUGCGUGAAUAUUGUAAACAGUAUUAAUAGAGUCAAACAUAGGCUGUGAGAUGAGCAAGUAUCCAGUUGAUAGGAAGUUAACAUAGAAUUUUUAAGGAAGGAAAAAAAAACCAAACCAGAGAGGGAGUCAGAAGAAUGGAUAGGGAGAUGCACAGGAAGUAGGAGGGAGGGACAUUCAGGGGAUUGCUGGUGGGAUGUUGGCUGGGAAAGAAGGUCAGCUGAGUUCUGUCUCUGUGUCUUGAGUCUCUGAGCCAGCAGGCUUUCCCCCUCAGCACCUGGCUCCUGAGUCUUUAUUGGUAAAAUCAAUGAUUGAGAUUUUGUUAAAAACAAAACCAGGCAGGUGCUGUAUCUCGCAAUUUUUUUUUUUUUAAAGAAAAAGCUGUGUGUCUGUGUGUCUGCAUUUGAGUGCAGGUGUACAGGGAAGCCAGAGGUAUCAGAUCUCCCAGAAGUAUCGGAUCCCCUAGAGUUGGAAUUACAGGUAGUUGUGAGGUACCAGACAAUCUCCGGUACUGUGCAAGAUAUGUGCUCUUAAUCAGUGAGCUGUUUCUCUACCCCAUCCAUUUUAGGAUGGGCCUUCCUUAAACCUUUCUGGAGACAAUCUCUGAAACUGCGGUCCAAGGUGCUUGUUCUAGAGGACUCUAGAAGGCAGGGGAACUAAGCCUUCUGAGUACAUUUAUAUUUUUUCUUUGGAAAAUGUGUUUAGAGCUGUUAUCCUAUUUUAAAAGUUGGAUUUUUACUUUUAAGUUACUUAAAAAAAUAUAUGCUGGGUAGUAAAUCUUUUUUGUUUUUUAAGAUUUAUUUAUUAUAUGUAAGUACACUGUAGCUGUCUUCAGACACACCAGAAGAGGGCAUCCGAUUUCAUUACAGAUAGUUGUGAGCCACCAUAUGGUUGCUGGGAAUUGAACUCAGGACCUCUGGAAGAGCUGUCAGUGCUCUUAACUGCUGAGUCAUCUCUCCACCCCCAGUAAAUCUUUUCUAGAUAUGUGAUUAGCAAAUACUUCCUCUUAGCUUUGGUUUAUGUUUUCAGUUUUGCCUGAGUUUACUGGCAGCACUUGGGAGGCAGAGGCAGGCAGAUCUCUUUGAGUUUCAGACCAGCGUGGACUACAGAGUGGCUUCCAGAACAUCAAAGGCUAAACAGAAACCUUUUGAAAAACAAAACAAAAAAGAAACUUGUCUAAUCCAGGGUUGCAAAGAUUUAUACCUGUGAUUUCUUCUAAGGGUUUUAUAGUUUAGUUCUUACGUUUACGUCUUUUAUUAUUAUUUUUGUAUGAGUGUUUUCCUAGGCUAUUAGUUUAAAAAGACUGAGCCUUAUAGGUCAGGUCUGUAAUUCCAGCUACUUGAGGUUAAGUUAGAAGGAUCUCAGUUUCAAAGCCUGCCUAGGAUGAAGUCUCAACAUGGCUGCCUAAAGAAGACUGGAAUGAGGAUGAUGCCAAGGCAUUCUAACAUGGAAGGGGGAACUCUCAUGGGGCCCAACAUUUC
rnacentral:lncRNA from 1 species